UACGUAGGGAGCAAGCGUUGUUCGGAUUUACUGGGCGUAAAGGGCGCGUAGGCGGCGCGGUAAGUCGCUUGUGAAAUCUCUGAGCUUAACUCAGAACGGCCAAGUGAUACUGCUGUGCUAGAGUGCGGAAGAGGCAACCGGAAUUCUUGGUGUAGCGGUGAAAUGCGUAGAUAUCAAGAGGAACACCUGAGGCGAAGGCGGGUUGCUGGGCCGACACUGACGCUGAUGCGCGAAAGCCAGGGGAGCAAACGGG
rnacentral:misc_RNA from 1 species